GACGAACGCUGGCGGCAUGCCUAACACAUGCAAGUCGAACGGUACCUUCCUGUCUAGUGGCGCAGGGGUGCGUACCGCGGGGUAACCUGCCCUUAAGUUCCGAAUAACUCCCCGAAAGAGGUCCUAAUACCGGUUAAUCUCUUCCCACCAAAGAUUUCUGGCCGUUGGAUGGGGGCGCGUUGGAUUCGCUGGUUGGUAGUGUACAAGCCUACCAAGGCGUGGAUCCAUAGCUGGUCGGAGAGGAGGAUCAGUCACACUGGGACGCAGGCACGGCCCAGACUGGUACGGGGAGGAGCAGAGGGGAAUAUUGGGCGAUGAGCGAGAGCCUGCUCCAGCAGUGCCGGGUGAGUGGUGAAGGGGUUAGGGUUGUAAAGCUGUUUGAACCGAGAUGAUAGUGACGGUACCGGGAGAAGAAGCACCGGCUAACUACGUG
rnacentral:rRNA from 1 species